GGUUGCCACGCAGCCCACCCCCCAGUCGGCGGGGUGGGGUGGGGCGGCUGUGUCUUUCUGAGGAAUGCGAGCUUGUCCCCCACCCCCAGGAAGCAGUGCAGCUGGUGAAGGUUCUGCAGAACCUGGACCCCCCGAUCUGCAUCGACGGGCACACUGUGCUUGUGAACCUCGCCACGGGAAGGAGAAGAAACGACUACGGGGAGCAGGGCGCCAAACCCUACUACAGCCCGGGCAAAAGAGGCGUGCGGGACAGGAGGGGCGCCGAC